CGGACGGGUGAGUAACGCGUGAAGGAUGACGGCCUAUGGGUUGUAAACUUCUUUUUUCAGGGAGGAAUCAAUGACGUGUACCUGAAGAAUAAGCAUCGGCUAACUCCGUGCCAGCAGCCGCGGUAAGACGGAGGAUGCAAGUGUUAUCCGGAAUCACUGGGCGUAAAGCGUCUGUAGGUGGUCAAAUAAGUCAACUGUUAAAUCUUGAGGCUUAACCUCAAAAUCGCAGUCGAAACUAUUAGACUAGAGUAUAGUAGGGGUAAAGGGAAUUUCCAGUGGAGCGGUGAAAUGCGUAGAGAUUGGAAAGGACACCGAUGGCGAAGGCACUUUACUGGGCUAUUACUGACACUGAGAGACGAAAGCUAGGGUAGCAAAUGGGAUUAGAUACCCCAGUAGUC
rnacentral:rRNA from 1 species